rnacentral:rRNA from 1 species
GACGAACGCUGGCGGCGUGCCUAAUACAUGCAAGUAGAACGCUGAAGGAGGAGCUUGCUUCUCUGGAUGAGUUGCGAACGGGUGAGUAACGCGUAGGUAACCUGCCUGGUAGCGGGGGAUAACUAUUGGAAACGAUAGCUAAUACCGCAUAACAGUAGAUAUCGCAUGAUAUCUACUUGAAAGGUGCAAUUGCAUCACUACCAGAUGGACCUGCGUUGUAUUAGCUAGUUGGUGAGGUAACGGCUCACCAAGGCGACGAUACAUAGCCGACCUGAGAGGGUGAUCGGCCACACUGGGACUGAGACACGGCCCAGACUCCUACGGGAGGCAGCAGUAGGGAAUCUUCGGCAAUGGACGGAAGUCUGACCGAGCAACGCCGCGUGAGUGAAGAAGGGUGUCGGAUCGUAAAGCUCGGUUGUAAGAGAAGAACGAGUGUGAGAGUGGAAAGUUCACACUGUGACGGUAUCUUACCAGAAAGGGACGGCUAACUACGUG